CGGCUAANUACGUGCCAGCAGCCGCGGUAAUACGUAGGUCCCGAGCGUUNUCCGGAUUUAUUGGGCGUAAAGCGAGCGCAGGCGGUUAGAUAAGUCUGAAGUUAAAGGCUGUGGCUUAACCAUAGUACGCUUUGGAAACUGUUUAACUUGAGUGCAGAAGGGGAGAGUGGAAUUCCAUGUGCAGCGGUGAAAUGCGUAGAUAUAUGGAGGAACACCGGUGGCGAAAGCGGCUCUCUGGUCUGUAACUGACGCUGAGGCUCGAAAGCGUGGGGAGCGAACAGGAUUAGAUACCCUGGUAGUCCACGCCGUAAACGAUGAGUGCUAGGUGUUAGGCCCUUUCCGGGGCUUAGUGCCGCAGCUAACGCAUUAAGCACUCCGCCUGGGGAGUACGACCGCAAGGUUGAAACUCAAAGGAAUUGACGGGGGCCCGCACAAGCGGUGGAGCAUGUGGUUUAAUUCGAAGCAACGCGAAGAACCUUACCAGGUCUUGACAUCCCGAUGCCCGCUCUAGAGAUAGAGUUUUACUUCGGUACAUCGGUGACAGGUGGUGCAUGGUUGUCGUCAGCUCGUGUCGUGAGAUGUUGGGUUAAGUCCCGCAACGAGCGCAACCCUUGUUGUUAGUUGCCAUCAUUCAGUUGGGCACUCUAGCGAGACUGCCGGUAAUAAACCGGAGGAAGGUGGGGAUGACGUCAAAUCAUCAUGCCCCUUAUGACCUGGGCUACACACGUGCUACAAUGGCUGGUACAACGAGUCGCAAGUCGGUGACGGCAAGCUAAUCUCUUAAAGCCAGUCUCAGUUCGGAUUGUAGGCUGCAACUCGCCUACAUGAAGUCGGAAUCGCUAGUAAUCGCGGAUCAGCACGCCGCGGUGAAUACGUUCCCGGGCCUUGUACACACCGCCCGUCACACCACGAGAGUUUGUAACACCCGAAGUCGGUGAGGUAACCUUUUAGGANCCA
rnacentral:rRNA from 1 species